CAGUAGCCACGGUAAUACGAAGGGUGCAAGCGUUAAUCGGAAUUACUGGGCGUAAAGCGUGCGUAGGCGGUGAGUUAAGUCUGCUGUGAAAUCCCCGGGCUCAACCUGGGAAUGGCAGUGGAUACUGGCUCGCUAGAGUGUGUCAGAGGAUGGUGGAACUCCCGGUGUAGCGGUGAAAUGCGUAGAGAUCGGGAGGAACAUCAGUGGCGAAGGCGGCCAUCUGGGACAACACUGACGCUGAGGCACGAAAGCGUGGGGAGCAAACAGGAUUAGAUACCCCCGUAGUCCCUGUCUCUUAUAC
rnacentral:rRNA from 1 species